CUUUGAAGAACUGCCAGUAAACACAGACGACAGACAACCUCAGAGCAGGAGGCUUUGGCUGUGGGGGACAGCUGUGAGCAUGGCAGUGGUUAGCUCCCUGUGGGCAGUUGUGGUCACCACCUGCCUAGGAGCCAGCGUGGCCCAGACAGUCACUCAGCAUCAGCAGGAACAGUCUCUGCUGGAGACAGAGUCAGCAACACUGGGCUGCACCUACGACACGACUGAUACUAACUACAACUUGUUCUGGUACAAACAGCGAAGAGGGCAGAUGACUCUCGUUAUUCGCCAAGAAGCUUAUAAGCAGCAGAAUGCAACAGAGGACCGCUUCUCCGUGAACUUCCAGAAAGCAGCUAAGUCCUUCAGCCUCGAGAUCUCAGACUUGCAGCUGGAGGAUGCUGCGACGUAUUUCUGUGCACUCAUGGAGAGGGGCACAGUGACACAGGCAACGGACAGGGCCUGA